AACGAACGCUGGCGGCAUGCCUAACACAUGCAAGUCGAACGAGACCUUCGGGUCUAGUGGCGCACGGGUGCGUAACGCGUGGGAACCUGCCCUUAGGUUCGGAAUAACUCCCCGAAAGGGGUGCUAAUACCGGAUAAUGUCUUCGGACCAAAGAUUUAUCGCCUUUGGAUGGGCCCGCGUUGGAUUAGCUAGUUGGUAGAGUAAAAGCCUACCAAGGCGACGAUCCAUAGCUGGUCUGAGAGGAUGAUCAGCCACACUGGGACUGAGACACGGCCCAGACUCCUACGGGAGGCAGCAGUGGGGAAUAUUGGAAAAUGGGCGAAAGCCUGAUCCAGCAAUGCCGCGUGAGUGAUGAAGGCCUUAGGGUUGUAAAGCUCUUUUACCCGGGAUGAUAAUGACAGUACCGGGAGAAUAAGCUCCGGCUAACUCCGUG
rnacentral:rRNA from 1 species